GGGGGGGGCAAGCGUUGUUCGGAAUUACUGGGCGUAAAGGGCUCGUAGGCGGCCAACUAAGUCAGACGUGAAAUCCCCAGGCUCAACUUGGGAACUGCGUCUGAUACUGGUUGGCUUGAAUCCGGGAGAGGGAUGCAGAAUUCCAGGUGUAGCGGUGAAAUGCGUAGAUAUCUGGAGGAAUACCGGUGGCGAAGGCGGCAUCCUGGACCGGCAUUGACGCUGAUGAGCGAAAGCCAGGGGAGCAAACGGGAUUAGAUACCCCGGUAGUCCUGGCCCUAAACGAUGAAUGCUUGGUGUGACGGGUAUCGAUCCCUGUCGUGCCGAAGCUAACGCAUUAAGCAUUCCGCCUGGGGAGUACGGUCGCAAGGCUGAA
rnacentral:rRNA from 1 species